AUGGGCGAGGUGUACCUGGAUCGCUCAGUCAAGCCGGAGCCAGCGGACGUCGGCAUUGCCCAGGGCAACCAGGUUACUAACCUGAUGUCGGCGGGAUGGACGGAUGAGAGGCACACGGAUUACAUAAGCUCCAUGGAAGCCUCUUUCAUCAACCGACUCUACAAUCAGGGACACAACGCGAACAAGAAAGAUCCAGGUACCAAUGGGUUCAAGGUUCUCCAAGGUGGAGCUGGAGUGUGGAAGAAAGUCGAGUUUGAGAGGCCCAAUGCUUGUGCUCAAGUCGGGGCCAAACAAAGCCUGCCUGCAAACCCCUGGAUCCAGCAUUUCAGAUCGCGUGAUUGCAGCAGCAGCAGCAGUGCAAGAGGUGAUGGGGCACAAACUUCAGUAGGCGAUCACGAAUCGGGUAUCCGGACUGUCCCUGGGAGCACUCCGUUGUCACACGGAAGGGAAUUGGGAACUUGCAAGGGAGAAAGCCUUCUCGAUGAAAAUUCAGAGGUCUCUGAUCAGAACUUUGCUGACGACAACGAGGCAGAAGUUGGCGCAGAAUCAAGCAAAGCAUGCAAGAAAAGGAGAUUGAGCAGUUCUUCCACUUACUUCACUCAAACGAUCCAGUGA
rnacentral:rRNA from 1 species